rnacentral:rRNA from 1 species
AUACAUGGGUAGGGGAGCGUUCCUGCAUGGGCGAAGCCUGACCGGAAGGACAGGUGGACAGGCAGGAAGUGAGAAUGCCGGUAUGAGUAGCGAAAAGAAAGGUGAGAAUCCUUUCCACCGAAAGCCUAAGGGUUCCUGGGCAACGAUCGUCGACCCAGGGUAAGUCGGGACCUAAUCCGAGGCGAAGACGCAUAGGAGAUGGACAACAGGUUGAAAUUCCUGUACCGACGUCGUCUGUUUGAGCGAUGGAGUGACACAAGAAGGAAAGUUCGCAUGCGAUUGGAAGAGCAUGUCUAAGCAGGUAGGUUGAAUACCAGGCAAAUCCGGUAUUCUAAAAGCCGAGAAGUGAUAGGGAGCCUGUAGAGAUACAGGUGAAGGAACCGGGACUCGAUUGUCAAGAAAAGCUUCUAGUGAGGACGACGCCGCCCGUACCAAAACCGACACAGGUAGGCAAGAAGAGAAUUCUAAGGUGCGCGGGAAAACCCUCGUUAAGGAACUCGGCAAAAUGUAUCCGUAACUUCGGGAAAAGGAUAACCCAGAGUACGUGAAGGAAAGAAACAUCCGGAGCGGGAAUGGGUGGCACAAGAGAGGCCCAAGCGACUGUUUACCACAAACACAGGCGUCUGCUAAAGAGAAAUCUGAUGUAUAGAUGCUGACACCUGCCCGGUGCUGGAAGGUUAAGAGGACGUGUUAGCCGCAAGGCGAAGCAGAGAAUUGAAGCCCCAGUAAACGGCGGCCGUAACUAUAACGGUCCUAAGGUAGCGAAAUUCCUUGUCGGGUAAGUUCCGACCCGCACGAAAGGUGUAACGAUUUGGGCACUGUCUCAACGAGGGACCCGGUGAAAUUGAAAUACCUGUGAAGAUGCAGGUUACCCGCGACUGGACAGAAAGACCCCAUGGAGCUUUACUGUAACCUGAGAUUGAAUUUUGGUAGAAGAUGUACAGGAUAGUUGGGAGACGUAGAAGCGCGCACGCCAGUGUACGCAGAGUCGAUGGUGGGAUACCAACCUUGUUUUAUUGAAAUUCUAACGAGAGCCGUAACGAGGCUGCGGACAGUCUCAGGCGGGCAGUUUGACUGGGGCGGUCGCCUCCGAAAGAGCAACGGAGGCGCCCAAAGGUUCCCUCAGCGCGGACGGAAACCGCGCGAAGAGUGUAAAGGCAGAAGGGAGCUUGACUGCGAGACGGACAGGUCGAGCAGGGACGAAAGUCGGGCUUAGUGAUCCGGUGGUAGAGAGUGGAAUUGCCAUCGCUCAACGGAUAAAAGCUACCCUGGGGAUAACAGGC